AGCUUUGCGCAGUGGCAGUAUUGUAGCCGAUGAGGUUUAUCCGAGGCACAAUUAUUGCUAAUUGAAGAAAAUUCUGGGAAAUUCAAAUAAAUCUACUGUGACAGAAAGCAAGAUGAAUGGUUGCCUGGGAAUGGG
ensembl:snRNA U4 U4 spliceosomal RNA